CCCAGACUCCUACGGGAGGCAGCAGUGGGGGAUAUUGCACAAUGGGGGGAACCCUGAUGCAGCGACGCCGCGUGGGUGAAGGAGCGUUUCGGCGCGUAAAGCCCUAUCGGCAGGGAAGAAGGAGGACGGUACCUGACUAAGAAGCCCCGGCUAACUACGUGCCAGCAGCCGCGGUAAUACGUAGGGGGCAAGCGUUAUCCGGAUUUACUGGGUGUAAAGGGGGCGCAGACGGCAGCGCAAGCCAGGAGUGAAAGCCCGGGGCCCAACCCCGGGACUGCUCUUGGAACUGCGCGGCUGGAGUGCAGGAGGGGCAGGCGGAAUUCCUGGUGUAGCGGUGAAAUGCGUAGAUAUCAGGAGGAACACCGGUGGCGAAGGCGGCCUGCUGGACUGCGACUGACGUUGAGGCCCGAAAGCGUGGGGAGCAAACAGGAUUAGAUACCCCAGUACC
rnacentral:rRNA from 1 species